rnacentral:rRNA from 1 species
AUACGUAGGUGGCAAGCGUUAUCCGGAAUUAUUGGGCGUAACGAGGGAGCAGGCGGCAGCAAGGGUCUGUGGUGAAAGCCUGAAGAUUACCUUCAGUAAGCCAUAGAAACCAGGCAGCUAGAGUGCAGGAGAGGAUCGUGGAAUUCAAUGUGCAGAGGUGAGAUGCGUAAAUAUAUGGAGGAACAACAGUGGCGAAGGCGGCGGUCUGGCCUGCAACUGACGCGCAGUCCCGAAAGCGUGGGGAGCAAAUAGGAUUAGAUACCCUAGUAGUCCACGCCGUAAACGAUGAGUACUAAGUGUUGGAUGUCAAAGUUCAGUGCUGCAGUUAACGCAAUAAGUACUCCGGCUGAGCAGUACGUUCGCAAGAAUGAAACUCAAAUGAAUUGACGGGG